AAGAGUUACAGCUCUUUUAGAAUUUAUCUAGCAGGAUUUUUAGUUUUUACCAGAAAACCUCCCAC
ensembl:snRNA U7 U7 small nuclear RNA